GAUGAAGAACGUAGCGAAAUGCGAUAAGUAAUGUGAAUUGCAGAAUUCAGUGAAUCAUCGAAUCUUUGAACGCACAUUGCGCCCCUCGGUAUUCCGAGGGGCAUGCCUGUUCGAGCGUCAUUAUAACCCUUCAAGCUCAGCUUGGUGUUGGGGCCUGCUGUAACUGGUAGCCCUUAAAAUCAGUGGCAGUGCUAUUAGGCUCUAAGCGUAGUAAUUCUUCUCGCCAUAGUGUGUAGUGAGCGCUUGCCAGAACCCCAAACUUUUAUAUGAUUGACCUCGGAUCAGGUAGGGAUACCCGCUGAACUUAAGCAUAUCAAUAAGCGGAGGA
rnacentral:misc_RNA from 1 species